AGUGAACGCUGGCGGUAGGCCUAACACAUGCAAGUCGAACGGCAGCACAGUAAGAGCUUGCUCUUACGGGUGGCGAGUGGCGGACGGGUGAGGAAUACAUCGGAAUCUACUUUUUCGUGGGGGAUAACGUAGGUAAACUUACGCUAAUACCGCAUACGACCUACGGGUGAAAGCAGGGGAUCUUCGGACCUUGCGCGAUUGAAUGAGCCGAUUUCGGAUUAGCUAGUUGGCGGGGUAAAGGCCCACCAAGGCGACGAUCCGUAGCUGGUCUGAGAGGAUGAUCAGCCACACUGGAACUGAGACACGGUCCAGACUCCUACGGGAGGCAGCAGUGGGGAAUAUUGGACAAUGGGCGCAAGCCUGAUCCAGCCAUACCGAGUGGGUGAAGAAGGCCUUCGGGUUGUAAAGCCCUUUUGUUGGGAAAGAAAAGCAGCAGGUUAAUACCCCGCUGUUCUGACGGUACCCAAAGAAUAAGCACCGGCUAACUUCGUG
rnacentral:rRNA from 1 species